rnacentral:rRNA from 1 species
UGGGGAAUUUUGGACAAUGGGCGCAAGCCUGAUCCAGCCAUGCCGCGUGCGGGAAGAAGGCCUUCGGGUUGUAAACCGCUUUUGUCAGGGAAGAAAUCUUCUGAGUUAAUACCUCGGGAGGAUGACGGUACCUGAAGAAUAAGCACCGGCUAACUACGUGCCAGCAGCCGCGGUAAUACGUAGGGUGCAAGCGUUAAUCGGAAUUACUGGGCGUAAAGCGUGCGCAGGCGGUUUUGUAAGACAGAGGUGAAAUCCCCGGGCUCAACCUGGGAACUGCCUUUGUGACUGCAAGGCUUGAGGUGCGGCAGAGGGGGAUGGAAUUCCGCGUGUAGCAGUGAAAUGCGUAGAUAUGCGGAGGAACACCGAUGGCGAAGGCAAUCCCCUGGGCCUGCACUGACGCUCAUGCACGGAAGCGUGGGGAGCAAAACAGGAUUAGAUACCCUGGGUAGUCCACGCCCUAAAACGAUGUCAACUGGUUGUUGGGAAGGUUCCUUCUCAGUAACGUAGCUAACGCGUGAAGUUGACCGCCUGGGGAGUACGGCCGCAAGGUU